rnacentral:rRNA from 1 species
UACGUAGGGUGCGAGCGUUAAUCGGAAUUACUGGGCGUAAAGCGUGCGCAGGCGGUUUUGUAAGCCAGAUGUGAAAGCCCCGGGCUUAACCUGGGAAUGGCAUUUGGGACUGCAAGGCUUGAGUGCGGCAGAGGAGACUGGAAUUCCUGGUGUAGCAGUGAAAUGCGUAGAUAUCAGGAGGAAUACCGAUGGCGAAGGCGGUUCUCUGGGCCUGUACUGACACUGAGGAACGAAAGCGUGGGGAGCGAACAGG